rnacentral:rRNA from 1 species
AACGAACGCUGGCGGCAGGCUUAACACAUGCAAGUCGAGCGCCCCGCAAGGGGAGCGGCAGACGGGUGAGUAACGCGUGGGAAUCUACCCAUCUCUACGGAAUAACGCAUGGAAACGUGUGCUAAUACCGUAUACGUCCUUCGGGAGAAAGAUUUAUCGGAGAUGGAUGAGCCCGCGUUGGAUUAGCUAGUUGGUGGGGUAAAGGCCUACCAAGGCGACGAUCCAUAGCUGGUCUGAGAGGAUGAUCAGCCAUACUGGGACUGAGACACGGCCCAGACUCCUACGGGAGGCAGCAGGAGGGGAAUAUUGGACAAUGGGCGCAAGCCUGAUCCAGCCAUGCCGCGUGAGUGAUGAAGGCCCUAGGGUUGUAAAGCUCUUUCACCGGUGAAGAUAAUGACGGUAACCGAAGAAGGAGCCCCGGCUAACUUCGUGCCAGCAGCCGCCGUAAAAC